rnacentral:rRNA from 1 species
UACGUAGGGUGCAAGCGUUGUCCGGAAUUACUGGGCGUAAAGCGUGCGUAGGUGGUGCGUUAAGUCUGUCGUGAAAGCCCCGGGCUCAACCUGGGAAUGGCGAUGGAUACUGGCGCGCUAGAGUGCGGUAGAGGAGAGUGGAAUUCCCGGUGUAGCAGUGAAAUGCGUAGAGAUCGGGAGGAACAUCAGUUGCGAAGGCGGCUCUCUGGACCAGCACUGACACUGAGGCACGAAAGCGUGGGGAGCAAACAGG